rnacentral:rRNA from 1 species
CAGGAUGAGGCUGCUGCCACCGAUAGUAGGGCUGAUGAUGGUACUGAGGCUAAUGUUUCUGAUCACCAUACGAACGAUGUUGGCUUGGAGCACCCUGUUGUUGAUGAGACCAGUCAUAAUGUUGAGGCUGUUGUUGACCGUGGAGUUAAUGAUCCAUCUACUGAUAAGUGCAAGGGUCCUGUUGUUGGCGACGAGCCUUGUUCGCCCGUUGGUGAUGUUGCUUUGAAUGUUAGCAGCAGCAAGAUCGAUGAUGUUGCUGUGAAUGCUUCUAAGAUGACUGAUGUUGAGCGUGAGGCUGUCGUUAGUGGUGGAGAUGAUGCUCGUGGUGUUCCAUUGAGUAGUGGGCGCGAUGUUGGUACCAAAGUUGUUGAUGAGGAUGUUGGUGCUGCUAGCAUACUUGAUGCCAAACCGUCUGGUGUUGGUAUUGCUGGGAAUGAAAAUGUUCUUGAUUGUGAAGAUUUGCCGCCGGAGAAUUUCCCGCCUGGAGGUCUUGAUUACGGUGAUGCAUUGCAAGAUGCUUCUAGCAUGGAGGAGGAACUACCGUCGUCGUCAAACACUGAUAGUGCAGAAAGUGGUAAGGUUGUUAAGGUUGAUAUGUUUUUCUUCGCUAUUACGAGGUUGCGCACGAACCGUACGAAAUGUCACAAGCCGAUGUUUCAAAAUAAAGAAUGUGAUGCCAGUGUUGGUUCUAUUGCUAAAGCGUUUGUCCCCACUGGCAUGCUCAACUCAGACAGUGCUGACGUUGUUUUAUAUUCUCUACGUCAGAAGUACCGAGACACUGACAAGUUGAUAGUUCCCAGAUGGCUUCUCUUCCCUACUUUUGAUCCGCCGUCCUUUGCGGCUACCAUGAAGCCUAGCGAAGAAUCUGGGCAUUGGUGCUUGAUUGUUCUGAAUUUGAGGUUCCGUCGUUUUGAGUGUCUUGAUUCACUGCGUGAUGAAACCUGGAGUGAUGCAGUUAGAUUCUUAAGGACUAUGACAGAUAACAUAAAGAAGCUUUGGAGGGAGUCCAGCGUAGACAGGGCCAAACCGUUCUCGCCGGUGCAUAUUGAUGGUUUCUCUUGCGAGUUUGUGCGGGUGCCGCAGCAGAAAAACAUCCACGAAGACAUUCUUGACAUUAGGAAGACUUUUCUGUAUACCUACGCAACUAGCGAUGUGUUUGAUGUUGACUUCCGUGGUUUGUUUGGCAUCGAACCCUGUGCGUGGCUGGAUCUUGAUGAGCAGGACUACAGGAUCUUUGGCAGCCAGUUCUCGGAAAGGUCUGGUCUUAUUAAGGGGCGGUUGGGAGCUCUGAAAGGUUCUACGGCUGCUUGUGCAGAGAGCCCCUCUACACCCAAGAAUCCCAUUGUGGAAUUGAUAGACAGCGAUGAUGAUGCGUUUGACAAGAUUGCUGGCAUGGGAAGAGUCACCAGGAGCGCUGCUGCUGCCAAGGGUUUAUCCCCACUUGCUGGAAUAGUGGCCCGUAGAGCUGGUGGUGCUAGGAAGGAUCCUGCUUUGGAUUCUGGCAAUGUUACAAGCACGAAGCGUGCACCCAGAGCUCCUAUAAAGUUUUGCUCCCCUGUGCAGCAGCUUCACCCUCAUAAAUUCCCUCACCUGGACAAGGCUCGCAAGUUGUAUAAUCUGUUGCUUAGCGAUGAAGCAUGUGAGAAGUAUGCCGAGAAUACAUUCUCAAUGAUACCUCAGCCUGGUGAUAACGUUACUAGCUUCACUGGGAAACGCAUCUGGGAAGUUUUUGCACCUGGGCAAAUGAUGGAGGGUGAUGUAAUGGACUUCCUCAUUGAUGAUUGGAAGAAAGAUCCCGAUAGAAAUGUUGAUUUUGCGUCUGGGAAAAGGGUAUUGCUGAGUCCAUAUUUCAUCACGGUUGUGCUUGACUGUACGUUUUACGGUGAUGAAAAUAAAGCGUUUAAUGUCGAGAGUGCAGCGAGAGAUUUCAAGAGCUAUGUCAAAGAAAAGGAAGACUUGCUCAGUGCCGACCUUAUCUCCAGGAUGGUCCAAGUAACGAAGGCUUUUUAUGGUGAUGCUCAGUACAAUGCGAGCAAGCAGCCCAAAUGGGAGCUUUUUGCAAACAAACCAAUGUUUGUGAAGGUUCCACUUCAAGGGGCGAAUGAAUGUGGCCAU